CAAAAUGAAUUUUCAUUCAGAGUAAUAAACACAAGCAAAAGAACUUUGUGUAACAUCUGUCAACUUUUUGUGUCAUCUACUUCUUUCAGAAACAUUGCCUCUGGUUUUAAAGGCAUGUACUCUGAAAUAUUUUUCAAAUGGAAAAGAAAGCAGAGAACACAGUUUUCAAAAUAUCUAGAGCCCUCCAAGAUGUCUGUAGUAAUCUAUAAAAUCUCAAGACAAUUUAAAGAAGAAUGGAAAGUGUUUUAGAAACACUAUUCUCUCCACAUCCUGGGGCAGCAGGCUUCUAUGAAGAAACAUAAAGAAGGAAAUGGAUUACCUUAGCAAAAGACAAAUGAAGACACUCCAAAUAACAGAAGAAUGGGAAGGCCACAGACCUUGAAGUCAGAAGAAAAUUUCCUCUUCUUGCCCUGUUUCUCCUUCAAAUCGUCACCACUACAGUCUCUUACUUCUAGGGCCCUGUUCAGCUUUUUCCCCUAAGUUGUAAUGUCCUUCUUUUGGUUGGGUCAUGUCCUAAAAUCCUACUCUUUGGUACAAGAUGAAGGAAGAUGAAGAGAUAAUGAAGGAAACAAAUUCAAUGUGUUUGCUAAGAACACAGUCUUUUAAAUCAUUCUUAAAGGGUUUUUUUAAAACAAUGUAAUAGAUUGUCGUUAUCUAUUACACAAAGCUACUAGGAACCUCGAAGUGUAUUAAAAACAUUUCAACAUUCAGCAGUAGAGGGCAGCACUGCCCUUCAUUUGCAAAAUGUCGCGCACUCUUGAGAAGGAAAAUAAAGGCAAAGCUCCUGACCCCUCUGUCUAUUUACUUUUACUAUAUACUUUAAAAAAUUGAGUAUUUUUGUUAUGGUUUAGGUGAUAUGUAGAAAGAAUGUCAGAGCCUGGAUUGCCUGGAAGUGGAACACCAGGUAACUGGCAAAAAAACACGGAACGUUUGAGGUCCCCAACUCAGGAUAUGGGGUCUGUCUGGCAAAGAUAAACAGUAGCUUGACCCUGGGUAAUCAGAUAGGGUUAUUGUAUGAACAGACUUAAUGCUCCUGCUCUUUCUGGAUAGAAGUCAAUCUACUGAAAUAGCAGGAUGUGGUUUUAAAAAAUGUGUAACUCAUAUAGUCUUAGCCCUCAUAACUGCUUCUAAAUUCUUAUUCACUGCCUUUAUUCUGCUGUGUUAGUGUUGCUCCCUGUUAUACCUGGGUCAGGUCAGAACUAUCUCAAAUAGAGUAUGUGCAUUAUGACUUUAAAGAAUGGUGUCAGACAUGAUGGAUAAGGAAUGUCUUUCAUGGGACUGCAGUUGACUAAAUGGCUGUGUAUAAAUAGUGAAAUUGAAGCUUGUAUGCUCAACCUUAUUCUGUCACAGUAUGAUUUGAGUUUUCCUAACCAGUAAAUAGCAAGAAAAAAUGAUCUGUUAUUUUGUACCAAAAGUUACUUGUUGCUUUUUAUCAGGAUGACAGAGUAAUUCUAAUUUUAGCAAAUAAAAAACUAUGUAAUCCUAGCAUAUUUGAAUUCUGUUUAGCCUGAAAACUUUUUUGGCAGCAAAUCUUCAGUGCCAAUUUAAAUAAAUCCCACUAGGAAUAAGCACUGGAAGACAUUGAGUCUAGUUCCCAGCUCUGCCAUGUGAAGUUGGGCAAAUUACAACCUCUGAGCUUUCAUUUCUUCAUCGUUAAAUGGAGAUAAUACCUCCUAGAUUUAUUAAAAGGGUCAACUUAGAAAAUACAGAUUAAAAUGGUUUGAAAGCCAUUUAAGUACCUAACAAAUAUUUCUAUCACUGUAGCCCAAAGAGAUUCCUGCCUAGAAGGCUUUAUGUCUCUUCUCCUUAUUUGGUAUCAUUCUAUUGCCUGAGAUUGUUAAUUAACUUUGAUGUAUACUUAAUAUUUUCUCCCAACUUGAUUGCUAGUUAGUUCCUUGAGAAUUGAAACCAUCAGUUGCACUUCUUGGUAUCCUCCACAACAAGGUAUCUGUACUCAAAUAUUUGAUUAAAAACAUAAACCACAAGACAUAAUUGACUCUUUUUUAAAUUGUGGUAAAAAACAUGUAUUUACCAUCUUAUCCAUUUUUAAGUAUACUGUAUAUUAGUGUUUACUAUAUGCACAUUGUUGUGCAACACAUCUCUAGAACUUUUCAUCCAGAAUUCUUUUUUUUUUUUUUUUUUGAGACAGAGUCUUGCUCUGUCACCCAGGCUGGAAGUGCCAUGGCACCAUCUUGACUAACUGCAACCCCUGCCUCCCAGGUUCAAGUGAUUCUGCUGCCUCAGCCUCCCAAAUAGCUGGGAUUACAUGUUCCUGCCACCACCCCUGGCAAAUUUUUGUAUUUUUGAUAGAAGUGGGGUUUCACCAUGUUGGCCAGGGCUGGCCUCAAACUCCAGACCACAAGUAAUCCACCUGCCUCAGCAUCCCAAAGUGCUGGGAUUACAGGCAUGAGCGACUGCGUCUGGCCUACCCAUUUUCUGUAAGCCUGAAAAUGGAUGCCAGAAAAGAAGGUACCACUAUAAAGUGCUUCCAUGAGUGAUUUAUGUCUAGCAUACAAUUAAACAUUUAUAAGAAGGAAAUUAUCAGGUUAAAAUAUAAACUCACUUGCCAAUUAUUUGAUUUUCAGGAUAUCUGACUUUUGUUGAUUAUUGAAAAUGAAGUAUUAUUUCUAAUCACUA